GAAAUGCGAUACUUGGUGUGAAUUGCAGAAUUCAGUGAAUCAUCGAAUCUUUGAACGCAUAUUGCGCCCUUUGGUAUUCCGAAGGGCAUGCCUGUCCGAGCGUCAUUACACCCCUCAAAUUCCAUUUGAUGUUGGGCGACGCCCGCCGCGGCCAGCCUUAAAGCGAAUGACGGUUCCCAACCAACCUCGGGCGUACAAGUAUCGCGACGGGGGAGGAUCGGGGGCCUGUCCCACACAGCUUCUAAAUGUUGACCUCGGAUCAGGUAGGGAUACCCGCUGAACUUAA
rnacentral:misc_RNA from 1 species